UACGAAGGGGGGCUAGCGUUGUUCGGAAUUACUGGGCGUAAAGCGCACGUAGGCGGAUACUUAAGUCAGGGGUGAAAUCCCGGGGCUCAACCCCGGAACUGCCUUUGAUACUGGGUAUCUCGAGUCCGGAAGAGGUGAGUGGAAUUCCGAGUGUAGAGGUGAAAUUCGUAGAUAUUCGGAGGAACACCAGUGGCGAAGGCGGCUCACUGGUCCGGUACUGACGCUGAGGAGCGAAAGCGUGGGGAGCGAACAGG
rnacentral:rRNA from 1 species